rnacentral:rRNA from 1 species
AUUGAACGCUGGCGGCAGGCCUAACACAUGCAAGUCGAGCGGUAACACAGAGGAGCUUGCUCCUUGGGUGACGAGCGGCGGACGGGUGAGUAAUGCCUGGGGAUCUGCCCGAUAGAGGGGGAUAACUACGGGAAACUGUAGCUAAUACCGCAUAACGUCUACGGACCAAAGUGGGGGCUCUUCGGACCUCAUGCUAUCGGAUGAACCCAGGUGGGAUUAGCUAGUUGGUGAGGUAAUGGCUCACCAAGGCGACGAUCUCUAACUGGUUUGAGAGAAUGACCAGUCACACUGGAACUGAGACACGGUCCAGACUCCUACGGGAGGCAGCAGUGGGGAAUAUUGCACAAUGGGCGCAAGCCUGAUGCAGCCAUGCCGCGUGUGUGAAGAAGGCCUUCGGGUUGUAAAGCACCUUCAGCGGGGAGGAAGGGCCACUGGUUAAUACCUAGUGGCAUUGACGUUACUCGCAGAAGAAGCACCGGCUAACUCCGUGCCAGCCGCCGC